AGAAAAAAAAGAAUGGCAGAGGAUGUCAAAACACUGAAUAACCAUAGUUUAUUUGCUCUUAUUGGAAUAUAUUACAAGAGUGAAAAAUCUGUUAUGAGUUUUUAAUUCUCAAACUGAAUAUUUGAAUUUCAAGGAUGAAGAAGAUGAUGAUGACUAUGUUGAAGAAGGAGAAGAGGAGGAAGAAGAAGAAGAAGAAAGUGUUCGAGGGGAGAAGAGGAAACGAGAUGCUGAAGAUGAUGGAGAGGAAGAAGACGACUAGAUCAUUCUAAGACCAGAUUCUCUAAUGUUUCUGGGUGUGCAAUAGAGUGAUCACGUCUUUGUUUCUUCAUGUACGAUAGCUAUCCCUACAGAAGAUAAUGUGUAACUUUUUAUAGGAAAAGUGUGGUUUUACUAUUUUUGCCUUAUCAUUCCAAAUAAGAACUAGUCUGUUAAUGAUCAUAUUGUAUGUAGAGAAAAAUUUUCAUUAACUACCAUUGUGGAAUUCCCUAGCAAUUUAUUUAGACUCUUAAUUUUUAAAAUUCAAGCUUACUGUAUUAGGCAUUUUUAGCUCAUAAUUAAAACAUGAUCACUUUUACACAGGUGUAGUUUGAUGCAUUUCAUUCCUUAUUUAUAAAUUAACUGAAAUUACAGUUUGCUGUAAUAUGAAAUGACAAUAGUCUCUUGAGUGGUAAGUUGGUUAUUUUUUUAGAGGUGAUCCAGGGAUCUUUAGUUUAGUUACCUUUUUUUUGAGUAAGAGUGUUUGGUUGCUUUUUUGUCACAAGUAACUUGGAAAGUAGAAGCAGAAUAGUAAAGGUUCUAUUCAGCAACAUAGUUCACAGAUUUUGUGGAGGUUCUGUUCAGUAACAUAGUUCAUGGAUUUAGUGGUGACUGAUUCAUCUUUGAAGGACUGAUUUUAUUUUUGAAGGAAAAAUCGCUUAUACCAAGUCAGAGACAUGCAGGUGAACCGUUUCAUCAGGCUGCAAAUCAUGACAUGCCGAUGGUGGUUUAUUUUGUUUUGGGUGUGCAUUCUUUUUCUUCUUAGCAAUUUCUUUAUGAUCACCUUCCCUUCUUGUUUCGCUUCCCUCCUGCUCUCUCAAAAGAAAGUUGGGAAACUUGUGAAUACCCAGGAAAACCUUUAGUCUUAUACCUCAGCUACCUUUCAGUCCUGUCUGGGUUUUAAAUAAGUGAAGUGAAAGAAAUUGACUAUUUUCUGACCUAAGAAUAAAUUAUCAAUACAGUUUUAUGCAGUAAGCUCUGCUUACCAUAAAUGUUUCUUGGUUGACAACAUCUAAGAUUAUAUUAGUAGGAUGAGGAAAGAAAAGCAGGGGGUGGUUUUGGAAGCAGUAUUAGUGUUCCCCAAAAGUCAGAACAAUUGCCUGUUGAUAAUAAGACAUUAAAGUCAAAUUUUAAAGUUGGCUUCUCAAAUGUUUGGAUACCACUCUGCAAAGUAUUCCUAAUUUUUCUGAGUAGAACCUUUAAUUCCUACAGUUUUAAAGCAUUACCAGAUAAAAUAAUAGCAUUUAAUUGGAAUAUACUAGGCAGUUGAAAAAUACUUAAAACUAAAUCGACAUUAAAAUUAAGAUUUGUUUUCAAGUGUAUGUCCAUUAAAAGUAGAAAAAUAUUUGGGAUGUGAGUGUGUGUUUCCUUACAUGGCUACUAAAUAAAAUAUAAUGAAUAGACAAGUAUAUCUCCCCUUUUGCUAUGGCGGCUCAAUGUUCAAGGCAAUGGCUUUUUAAACCUUGGCUAUCUAAAUUUUUUCCCUUUGUUUUGAAUAUUUGUAAGUUUUUAAAAAGUUAGUGUCGGCAGACUGAUUGAGGUUAUGCUUCUGUACCUGGGACACGUUUAAAUACUGAGUAUAGUACUGCUGCUACUGCUUCUACAAUGCAAAAUGUGUGACUUGAUGUUUAAACGUAAAAAUUAUGAUGUUACUUGUGGAGAAACUAAAAAAGCUGCACAACUGACUGAAAUAAAACACUUGGAAUAAGUGUAGUGAGGGGAUUGGAAUCUCCAAAAAACUAACAUUUUUCUUCUGCUUUUAAAAAUUGAAAUGCCCUGUUAUAGUUCCUAACGAUUCUCAUUACAUAACUAUGCCAGAUUACAAAAAUACUUAUUUUUAAAAUGAAAUCUAUAUAUUGACUUUCUUAUCAAUCAUCUUACUGUGCAAUCAAAAUUAGAGUACUUUGGUUUGAAAACAACACUUAGAGCCUCCAGGUAACUUUUAAGACUUACUUAGCUUUGUGGGUGGUAUUUUCAUGCAAAUAAGUAAGGGUGGGUUUUAUAUUUUGUAGAAGUUUUCGGUCCUAUUUUAAUGCUCUUUGUAUGGCAGGAUGUAUAUAGUGUGUUAAGUUCCCCAAGAAUCUCCUUUAAAACUUUGAAGUUAAUACUUUUGUGCAACUGUGUUUUGAAUAAAGCCAUGACAGUGUUAAAAACAAACAAACAAAUUUGCAGUACUCCUGAUUAUUCUUUUAUUGUUUCUGACUGUUCCUGUUUUUUUCUGUGACUGCUGUAACUUAAAGUUUUUGAAACUGAAUUGCUUCAAAUAAAUUGAAGAUUUGUUAUAAUGA